rnacentral:rRNA from 1 species
UACGGAGGGUGCAAGCGUUAUCCGGAUUCACUGGGCGUAAAGCGCAUGCAGGUGGCACAGUAAGUAGGGCAUGAAAACUCCUGGCUUAACUGGGAGAGGCUGUCCUAGACUGCUGAGCUUGAGGAUGGGAGAGGGAAGUGGAAUUGCCGGUGUAGUGGUGAAAUGCGUAGAGAUCGGCAGGAGCACCCGUGGCGAAAGCGGCUUCCUGGCUCAUUCCUGACACUCAGAUGCGAAAGCUAGGGGAGCGAACGGG